UACGUAGGGGGCAAGCGUUGUCCGGAAUCAUUGGGCGUAAAGCGCGUGUAGGCGGUUCGGUAAGUCCGCUGUGAAAGUCGGGGGCUCAACCCUCGGAUGCCGGUGGAUACUGUCGGACUAGAGUACGGAAGAGGCGAGUGGAAUUCCUGGUGUAGCGGUGAAAUGCGCAGAUAUCAGGAGGAACACCAAUGGCGAAGGCAGCUCGCUGGGACGUGACUGACGCUGAGACGCGAAAGCGUGGGGAGCAAACAGG
rnacentral:rRNA from 1 species